CUUUUCAUCCUGAAGUUUUCAGGUGGGUUGUAGAAAGUGAGCUGAUCUCCAAGGAGGUGGUUUGAGCACUCCAGAAGCUUUAGAAAAUUGCUGCUGGUUUUUUUAAGUAGCCCAAAGAUGAUGUGACAUGAAAUACAGGACUCUGUGUCAGUCAUGCUCACGGCCUUGCCAGUGAACCCCCUUGAGUGCUGCAGUUUUUAGACAACCCUUGCACACAGUUUCUGUCAGGUGAUAGAACAGUGUUAUCACCUUGGGUGGAGAGCACAUCCAGAAGGAAACAGAGUUUUUUCUGGUUGUCAGGAGGGUACUCAGAUUAAUGGAUUUUUCUGCAUUCAAGUGUUACUUUUCACUGUUGCUGAGAGUUCAAAGAAACAAAGUCAAGCUACCAGCAGGACAUUUUAGAUGACAGUAGCCUUCCCCCACCCUCCCAGCCUCCUAAUUCCAGCCAAUCUGGUUCUGUGUGAGGAGGAUGAAGUGGUGUUAAGCACUUUUUUUAUGGAACUUCAUCUUGUGAAUCAACUGGUGCUGAGACUUGUCACCCAACAGUCCAGUUAUCUUGAGAUGGAGAACCACAGUCCGUCCUCACCUACCUUGUCACAUGAGCAGGUGCUUUUUGUGGAUGCAUGUUAUGGCACUUUAAAAAUACUUCAGCUAGGUGGAGAGAUAGGGGAGCAUGGCCUCUCUCUAGUCUUUGCCUGUCCUAACCUUUGGAGUGGAAAGAUUAUUCAGAUAAAACUUAUACUGCACCUUGAGAAGAAGUGUUUUAAUGGUGAUAAGGGAAAGAGAGGCAGGGUAGAGCAUGGUGAAGAGCAAAGCUAGUAACACUGUCAUAACUGCAGAUCCAUUAGUGUUCACUUGGAAUUAUAUGCAUUUAGGAUUUGAGUGCUGUUGUGGUGUUAUCUUAAAAAAAAAAGAAAAAAGAAGGUUAAGAAAAUGAAGUCUGAAUUCUGCUGGUUCUUCCUCAAAGUUCUUCCCCAUUUCCUUUUCCACUUCUGUGUAAUUCAGAUUGCAUUUGAGUCAGCUGCUUUCAUUUGACACUUAUGUCAUUCAAGCAUCCCCAAAGUUAGCAUGUUAAUAUCUGCAUUUCAGCUGACUGAUAGGUACACCAAAACCUAUCUUAAUUUUGUCACUGCAACAUGAAGCUUCUUUUAAUUUCCCAAGUUGUUCAGCAUUUACUGAACAAGAUAAUGGAAUGAGAUCGGAAGAGCACAGUCUG